CACUAGGGUUUAUCACCAGGGCUUCUUCUCCUUGUUUGAGAAGCAAAGCAAGCAGCAUUUUUCAGUCUUCUCAUCUCUAAAUUUCUACAACCAGCUCACUCCAUCUUCCAUCAAUGGGGAAGAAAAGAGAGAGGCACCAAAAUCCAGAACCUUUCCUCCCAGAGGAUACAGACUCUAUUGCCUCCUCCACUAAAACACGAUCCAAAGCAUCAAAACACCACCAGAAACAGCAAAAAAUGAUAUCCUCGGGGAUGAGCUCGAAAAUCUUGAAGCAAGCGUUGAUUCAGCAGAAGGAGAUUCAAGCCGAGGAGAGAAACCCUAAUUUUAAUGCUCUGGAGGAAGAAUUGCCUGAGCCUGAAGGAGAGGAAUGUGCCGAGGAUCAAAUUGAUGAUUUUAGUGGCUUCUCCGAGACUCAAAGCCAGUUUAACGAUUAUCCUGAGGAGAUUGAUGAGAAUGAUGAGAAAUUGCUGGAGGCAUUCUUGUCAAAGGAUGCUGGUCCACAGCGAACACUUGCCGACCUUAUUAUUGAGAAAUUAAAAAAGACUGAUGCAAAUGUUUCCUCAGAGUUACAGCCUAUACCUAAGUUGGACCAGUCUCUGAUAGAUUUGUACAAGGGAGUUGGCGAGUAUCUUAGUAAAUACACAGCUGGAAAGAUACCUAAGGCAUUUAAGCACAUCCCUUCUAUGCAACUUUGGGAGGAUAUCUUGUACCUGACUGAACCUCAGAAAUGGUCACCAAAUGCAAUGUAUCAAGCCACUAGAAUCUUCUCUUCUAAUUUGGGUGCAAAGAAGGCAGAGCGUUUCUAUAGGCUUGUCUUACUUCCUAGGGUUAGAGAUGAUAUUAGGACGAAUAAGAGGCUGCAUUUCAGUCUGUAUCAAGCUUUGAAAAAGUCUCUGUAUAAACCUGCUGCAUUCAACAAGGGAAUAUUGCUUCCGUUGUGUAAGUCAGGGACGUGCACUCUUAGGGAAGCUGUUGUUGUUGGAAGUAUCAUUCAAAAGGUCUCCAUUCCUAUGCUUCAUUCAUGUGUUGCAGUGUUGAAGCUUGCGGAGAUGGAAUAUUGUGGCACAACAAGUUAUUUUAUCAAACUUCUAUUGGACAAGAAAUAUGCCUUGCCAUUUCGCGUACUUGACGCAGUUGUUGCUCAUUUCAUGAGAUUUCUCGAGGAUACAAGAAUAAUGCCUGUAAUUUGGCACCAAUCGCUUCUUUCAUUUGUGCAAAGAUACAAGAAUGAACUGCAGAAGGAAGAUAAAGAUAAUCUUAGAAGACUAGUUCUAAGGCAAAAGCAUAAACUAGUAUCUCCAGAAAUAAUCAGAGAGCUAGACAACAGCCGCAAUCGUGGGGAGAAGGAUGAUCCCAUGUCAAUAACAUCUCCUGUUUCUGUGAUCAAUAAAACAAUUGAGGAAGACAGGUUUGAUAUUCCAGAAGUACCUAUGGAGGAGGACUGAAUGCUUAGCCUUGGUUACUGACUGGGAGCUUUGAUGAGAUUCAGGCUUGCAUGUUUUUUGGGUGAAUUCAUAUUAUAUAUUAAAUGCAGUGCACAUCACAGAAUCGUGUCGGCGCCGGCAUGGCCACCAUGGAUGGCCCCUUGCUUAUUUAUUAUGCGAGCGACUGGACUGUAUUCAAGGUCAACUUUUCAAUCAUACAUAUUGCCGAUCAGCCAAUACACAAACAUGACUUCGAUUCUCUUUGGCUGCAAAUCGCAAUGUAUAGCCUAAUCUGACCAAGAAAUAGCAUUUUAUGGCUGGCAUUAGAUACUCGGGUAACGUAUUCGUCUGCCAGAUAUGCCAUGUUACUAUAAUUGUUAGAUGUCUUGGUCUGCGUUAAAGAGCGCUGAGAUGUCACAUACCUGCCAUCUUCAGGCAGCAUAUCUGAUUUGCUAUCCUUAUCCGCUGCUUAUUUAAAUCAUAGUUUGGUACAUGUUUAUACUAUAGAUUAAGCCCGUGUGACAACCUAACAUACCUAUUUAAGGUACUCGAAUCGCCACGUUGAAGCUCUAUGAUAAAAGCUUAGCAUCAUCAUACAGCACGAAGUCACCGAUAUUUUUAAAGAAAGUUCUUGGUUGGAUUUGCAUAUUGUUGCUUUCAUGUGGGCAAGGCAUGCCAUGAAGUCACCGAUAUGUAAGGUGCAUGAGGAAGAUGACAUGGACAUGGGAGGUGACUGAAUAGCCGGAUGCCACGUUAAUGUUUUCGCAGGAAAAAAAAAAAAAAACACAAACCGAAAAGUUCUCUCACAAUAUAUACGCAAAAAUAUUCAUGUCAGUAUGUCACCAUUGAUGCAAAGGGACCAGCUGUUAGCCUCUUGACACGUAAGGUUUCGGUCAUCUUUUCUCUUGUUUUCUCCUGUGGAUUUCUGAAGAAUUUGGAGCUUUCAAAAAUCUUCGGCGGAAAGCAGCUCAUUAUUGGCUUGUGGUCCAGUUGAUCAUCCAGCUCCAAUCGGCAUGCAGGAUCUCUUCCUUUGUGUUGAGGACUAUGAGUCUUCGGUGACCUUGUGGUCCUAUGUGGAAUAAGUAAUUGUGGCCUUGUGGCCUGUGGGUGUAAGAAGUGGAGCUUUGAUAUCUAUGUCUGUCAGCAUCCAUGUAAAGCUAUUUGUCCACUCCCUAUUACCCACUCAACACUUCACCUGAUUAAUACGUUUUUUUAGGGCCCUUGACCAUUAAUUUCUCAUUGAUCUGUUGUUAUCAGCCUGGGUUUUAAACAAUUCAAGAUUCCUGAUCGUCUGCUGUUUCCAAGUGAACAUUAUAACUGAGGUAACGUGGUUUAUCUAUCUAUGGCUGUCAGCAGCUACAGUUUGAAACAAAUUUGCUCUUGAUCUUCGCUGGCUCGUGCUUUGAAGGUCAAGCAGUUUUUUAAGCCCAUGCUAAUCAAAUCCAGCUACGUACUCACUUUUGACAGCUGAAACCCAGCGUGAGACCUUUCUUCAUUUGUGGCUGGAAUUUCUCUUCGUGAGUUUUGUCGUCGUUGCUUUAUGGGUAAGAAAAUUGACGCCUGUUAUACAAUUCGUCCUAGGCUGGCAUUUGCAUAUUUCUUUCUUCAUCUCUGGCAAAAUUGUCUCGAACCACACGUAUUUUGCUUAUAGUUACCUAUAUAUUUAGGUACACAUUUGUUUAUUAAUUUUCCACAUGAGCUUCCAAUUCUAAGGUAUUUCUUUGACAUGGCAGCUUCAAUUAUGUGGCUGCAAUAAAUCCCACGAAUGCAAGGGCUUUAUAGGCUUUAAAGUUCACAAACAUUUUCAAUUCCAACCAUGACCUAACCCUUUCUUUUUUUUGUACAGGACAUGUUAUUUUGAUUGACGUUUUGUUCUGCUCAAGGGAUUUUUUUAUAAAAAAAAAUAUCAUAAGAAAUUAAAUUUUUUGCAAUAUAAUACUAUUAAUUUUUUUU